GUCACUUUGUGUUUGAGGGUAUUGAAGUAUUCUGUGAGUAUUCCAAUAAAAAUAGAAUCGGCAGUUCCCGCCGAUCGGCCGCAGACCAGAGCCACUACUCUA